rnacentral:rRNA from 1 species
AGAUACCCUGGUAGUCCACGCCCCUAAACGAUGCUAACUCGUUUUUGGGCUUUAGGGUUCAGAGACCAAGCGAAAGUGAUAAGUUAGCCACCUGGGGAGUACGCUCGCAAGAGUGAAACUCAAAGGAAAUUGACGGGGGCCCGCACAAGCGGUGGAUUAUGUGGUUUAAUUCGAUGAUACGCGAGGAACCUUACCAAGACUUAAAUGGGAAUUGACAGUUUUAGAAAUAGAACUUUCUUCGGACAAUUUUCAAGGUGCUGCAUGGUUGUCGUCAGCUCGUGCCGUGAGGUGUUAGGUUAAGUCCUGCAACGAGCGCAACCCCUGUCACUAGUUGCCAUCAUUCAGUUGGGGACUCUAGUGAGACUGCCUACGCAAGUAGAGAGGAAGGUGGGGAUGACGUCAAAUCAUCACGGCCCUUACGUCUUGGGCCACACACGUAAUACAAUGGCCGGUACAGAGGGCAGCUACACAGCGAUGUGAUGCAAAUCUCGAAAGCCGGUCUCAGUUCGGAUUGGAGUCUGCAACUCGACUCUAUGAAGCUGGAAUCGCUAGUAAUCGCGCAUCAGCCAUGGCGCGGUGAAUACGUUCCCGGGCCUUGUACACACCGCCCGUCAAGUCCAGGGAAGCCUGGGGGUAACUCUGAAGUACGGUGAACUCGUAAAAAGG